rnacentral:lncRNA from 1 species
UCACUAAAAGAACCUGAGAAAGCAAAAUAUAGAAAGCAUAUAAAUAUAUAUUUUCCAUAAAUCAUUGAGAACCCUUUCAAUCAAGUAAUCUAAUGAUUCAAGGGGUUCUCACCAGUGUUUUAAAAACUGGACCGAAGAUUGAACCGAUAAAACUUGCGGUUUAAGGUUCAAUUGGUUAAACCGGUUAAACCUAUGGUCGAGUCGUUUAUUAAAUAAACUAAUAAUAUAAAACUAAAUUUCAUAAAUAUGUCACACAUAAUCAUAUGUUCAUAAUUUAAUAAAAUAAUUAUUUCAAAAAUUCAUUGCAAAUUUAAUACAACAAUAUCGAUAAUACAUAUGAUAACAUAACAUAAUUCUACAUUUUAUUUCAACAUUCAUUUAAGAAUAAUUUGACCAAAUUAAAAAAUUACCAUAGGUUAAACUAAUUCAAACCAAAAUUAAAAUAAUAAAAUAUAAUAACUAAAAUAAAGUUCAAAUAAUUAAGAAUACCUAAAUUAAAUAAGAUAAAAUACCAGAAAUAAAUAAUAUAAUAUAUUUCAUUAAUCAAAAAAAUGAAUUUAAGUUGAACUACGACAAAUAAAUCUUAAUUGACAAUAAAAAACAAUAUUGACUUGAACGACAAUCAAUAUUGAGUUGGAUAUCGUGACUAUGUUUGAAAGGGACAAUGUGAUGAUGAUGAAGUAUGGUUGAAAGAAAAACUAUAAUAUUGAGUUGGAUAUCGUGACUAUGUUUGAAAGGGACAAUGUGAUGAUGAUGAAGUAUGGUUGAAAGAAAAACUAUAAUGGAGUGACAAAAUAUAGAAGUUUGUAUGGUUAUAAAAAAAUACGGAAUUAUUUUUUGUGAUUGAGAAUGUAGGUUAAGUUUUGAUAUUGACAUAUUAAAAUUUUUAAAUUUUUUUUUAAAAAAAUGGUCAAUUUGAUGCAUUUUUUUGAACCCGGCGAUUUUACAAAACCGACUCCGUUUCUUUGGUUCGAAUGAUUUUGGACAGUUCAAUCCAGUUUUUCUGGUUUUACUCUGGUUUUGACCCACUAGCAAUUUUGAAAGGUUGACCCAACCGGACUCCUCUCUGGUUCCCGAUCCAACCGGUUGAACCGGGCGGUUCGGACCGGUUUUUAGAACAUUGGUUCUCACAAACAACAAACAUAUUCAAUUAUAAUUUCAAUUUUUUAAGUGAAUCUAACGGAAAAAUAUUUCUUUUAUCUUUUUGAUUCAUUUAUUCACAAAAAUCAUCGUUAAUGGUAUAAAAAUAGAAUAUGUAAUGAUACAAACUUCAACGAUUCAUCAUUUCUAAAUUUAGUAGUAUUUGAAUUGAGACGAAGUUCUGACCAUGUGUCCGAGAAACAAGAGCGAUCAGAUCUGUAUCAAUGGAAUCUCAUCACCCAUACAUAACAAAUUGGUGCGGUAUAUUCAACUUAUAUUAUAAUAUAUGAACAAUAAAAAAGCUAUUAUUCUUAUUGAGACUAGAACUCAUAGGGAAGAAAGAAUAAAACAGAUUUAUGAAUGGAAUCAAAUAUGCAGUAUUUAUAGAAAAAAGUAUUCGGUUAUGGGGGAAAAUCAAUAUACUUUUGAUGUAGAAUCAGGAUCAACUAGGACAGGAAUCAAACAUUGGAUGGAAUUCUUCUUUGGUGUCAGGGUAAUAGCUAUGAAUAGUCAUCGACUCCCAAGAAAGGAUAUAAGAAGAAGAAUGUGACAUAUUAUAGGACAUAUAAUGCAUUAUAAAUGUAUGAUCAUUACGCUUAAACCGUGUUAUUCUAUAGAAAUUAGAACUAAUAAACAAUCCGGAGAUAUAUGAUAAUAAGAUAUAUGAUUCUAUUACUUUUGGAUAUUUCUGAAUUGAAUCAAAAAUGUUGUUAGAUGCCCAAGUUUGCUUAUUUGAGCUAUCAAAUGUGGGCAUCUUUCACUCCUUUUUGUCGAAAAAGUGUUCGAAACCGCCCUUGCUUUUGUUGAUUUGCAAUACUAUGUGAAAUGAUCUGUGGGCAUCUUUCACUCCUUUUUGUCGAAAAAGUGUUCGAAACCGCCCUUGCUUUUGUUGAUUUGCAAUACUAUGUGAAAUGAUCUUGGUACCUUUAAUUUGUGUGUUAUUGUGUAGGAAUUAGGCACGAAAGAGUAGAAAACGAAGGCACAAGAAAGAAGGCAAAGGAACCAAGAAAGAAAGCAAACAUCAGCAAGCUCGCUAGGCGAGUGAGGUAGCGAAGUAUUCGCUAGGCGAGCACUCAGCGAGAUUCCAGCGAACACUCCCAGACUUGGACAGAACCAAAAAGAUCAAGUAUUCGCUAGGCGAGCAUCCAGCGAGCAAGCAGCGAACAAUUCCGGUAGCAAAACCAUCAAAACUCGUUGUGGCGAGGGAAGUAGCUAAGUACUCGCUAGGCGAGCAUCCAGCGAGCAGGUAGCGAGCAAUUCCAGUAGCAAAAUCAUCAAGACUCGCUGGAGCGAAUGAGAGAAACGAGGGCUUCGCCUAGCGAAGGAUUGUUCGCCUAGCGAACAGAUGCAAACUUUUCUGGGAUGACUCUUCUGGACGCAUGCUAUUCUGGUGGCUUAUUUUGGGGCUCGCUAGGCGAACCAUUCUGCUCGCCUAGCGAGCAUGACAACUCAGUAAUCAGUACUAUAAGUAGCAUGGACUACUUUUUGGAACAACAUCUUUUAUCUUCAUUUUUCUUGGGAUCAUCUUUUUACUUGUUUUUGGCUUAGAGGUACUUUGUGUGCCCUAAAAACCACAUUUCUCAUCAUUCUUCUUUUCUUGACAAUAUUUUACAAAAAGAAGGUGGAUUCCCAUCCAAUCUCGAUUCUUCGACUCAGAUGUUGAUCAACCUUCGACCGAAACUUGUUGUUCAAGCUACCAUGAAAAUGAGUAGCUAAGUCCUUCAUUUUGUCAAGGUUAGAUGUAGAUGAUCAUAAGCUUUGUAUGUAUAUGGGAUGAUCUUCAUUUGUAAACUCUUUGAUGAUGAAUGUAUGGUGAAAAACCUUGUUUUAUUGAUAACUCUUUGUGUUGGUUUAUAUUGAAAGGUGUUUUCAACUCUUGACCUAAGUUUUCAUCCAUCCUUGUUCUUUAGCUAGAGAUAGUAUUGAAUGAGUUUGGUUCACAAAAAGUUGAACCUAAAAGUUGUUCAUUUUGGUAGAUUGUGUGAAAAUCAACAAUGGAUCAAAAUGGGAAAAACCAUAAUGUGUGUUAGAAAUAAACACAUUGGGAGGACUUUGUGAAUGUGUUUAUCAUCUAAUGGAGUUUAUGAGUUUUGUUUGAUCGAACAUAUGCAUGCAAAGUGAUCGUCAAACCCUAACUUUGACAAUCUUUCUCAAAUCGUAAAACCAAAACUUUUAUCGCAAUUUCUUACUUUUUAUGCAAGAUACCGUAACCGAAAACUAAAACCCCCUUGUUACUAUAAGUUAAGAACUUAACAACUGCCGAAUGGCGGCAAUAUCACAUAAUCUCUGUGGAGACGAUAACAAAUCCCGAUACUCUAUCCCUGUACCAACAAAUGCAUAUCUGAAUUUUCGGAAAAACAUGACAAAGACAUUAUUAUUAUGGUGAAUAAGGAAGUAGGAGAAACAUAUCUUGUAGUAUUAUUCUGGGAUGAAGAUUAAAUUCAUCAACAACGUAUGAUCAUUACGCUUUAACCCUGUUAUUCUACUCCACCUCUUAGAAAGAAAAGAACUUUAAUAAAAAUACAUUUAAUAACAUAACAUGGCGAUACAUUUAUCCAAAACUUCUAGCAUGAGCACAUACAAUGGAGCCGUAAACAGUCAAGUGAAAUCCAAUUCACGAAAUCGUUUGAUUUCUGGACAACAUCAUUAUGGUAAAGGGCGUAAUGCCAGAGGAAUCAUUACCGUAGGGCAUAGAGGGGGAGGUCAUAAGCGUUUAUACCGUAAAAUUGACUUUACAUUAACAAAAAAAACAUUCAUGCAUCAUAUGCAUUUUCAAAAACAUAAAACAAACAAAAAAUUAUCCAUCCACCCUUUUCCUUGAUCAGAACUGACGCCUCCAAAAUGACUUUCCGUACAACACUCACAAACAUCAACAAGACGUCAUGGAUCAACUCGAAUAAAACCAAGUCGCGCUCAGAGAAAAGUGUCUCAAGUGAGGUCCCAAAUGAGGUAGUUGAUGGAGACAAUCCAGGCAGUCACUAGAGGACAAGAAAUCAUGGCUAAAGUGCGGGAGGAAAUGAAUCAGCAUGCUCAUGAUGCUAACGCUCAUCCUCCUGUAUUAGAAACUCCAGUUCCUCCUCCUCAAGGCAAUCCUCCAGUUCAUAUAGGUGCACCCGGCGGUGUCCCUCCACCUACUCUCAAUCCCCCUGUCAUUGAGAUAGACUAUCAACAUGAUGUUUUUUCCAGCCCUAGGGCUGCUUCCCUGUACGAAGCUUUCACAAAAAUGGUCACUUUGAUGACUUUUUCAUUUCAACUAUUUAUUUAAAAGGUUAAAUUUUGUAUAAAUUUACAAACCGUAGCCAAAACUUGAAUAAAAUUAUAUCAAAGUUAAUUUAAUUUGUUAUACUAAAUACAACAAAAAAGAUAUAAUUAAAUUUAUUUUGUUAUACUAAAUACAACAAAAAAUAUAAUUAAAUUUAUUUAAUGGAUGAAACAACUAAUGGGCAUAACCAUGCAAGCGAUAUUGUACCUAACAAUUUAUUAUGAUAGUGUCACUUAAGUAAUUAUUUAUUAGAAACUGAUCCUUGUUUUUAUUCUUAUACACCGCAUAGAAAGACUUGAAGGUUUAAUCGGGCACGUGAUCUCUAUAAAAUAUUGAUCUACACGUCACAAUAAAAUCCAUAAUCUAGUAGUAAUUCAAACACAGUAAUGGAAAUAAAUUUCAUCAUGAAUCACUAUUUUGAAAUUAGAAUUUCAUAACACCAUAAUCCAAAUUUCAACUAUAUAUACAACACCAAACUUACUUAAUAGAAAAUAUUAAGUAGACAACACUAUUAGAAAAAAAAUAAAACAGUAAAACAGAAUAUAAUCUGUUGAAUGAACCUUGCAAUGUUUUCCAUCAUAAUAUGCAUAAAAAAAUUUAAUACCGGAUAAGAAAAAAGAAAAUAGAUUAAAAGGAAAAAUUGAUGUAAUUAGUUUUAAAAAAAAAAAUAGGCUUAAACCUGAAUCAAUUAAAUCACUGGUUUUUAGUAGGAAUCGGUUUUGAACCGAACCAAUCAAAACAUAAACUGGUUUUGAAAAAUAAACCAGUUUUACAAAAACAAUUUUUGAAACUAAACUGAACCAUAUAUUUAGUUUAAUUCAGAUUGGUUUAAAAACUAUGCACAACAAGAUGAGCUUCAUAAGCUUCACCUUGCUUUAAAAACUAUGCAAAACAAGAUGAGCUUCAUAAGCUUCACCUUGCUUGUAUACAAUGGGGUGUUUUUCAGGUACUGUAAUCAAUUUUCUGUUUAGAGGACAUUUUAUUUUGUUCAUUUUUACCUGAUCUUGUAAUUUUCAUGCAGAUGGUAAAUCAUGGAGUUUCAUCUGUUAAUAAUAUGGGGAAUGAAGUUAAGAGAUUUUUUGAACUUCCUUUACAAGAGAAAACAAGAUUGGCACAAAAAGCAGGAAGUCUUGAAGGGUAUGGUAUGGUCAAGCAUUUGUUACAUCUCAAGAACAAAAACUGGAUUGGAAUGAUAUGAUCUUCCUCGAAUCUUUACCUAUUCAAAACAGAAAAUUGGACUUGUGGCCUCAAAAUCCUCCCGAGUUCAGGUAUAUACAUUAUGUUAUUGAAUCUUUGAACUGAACAACAUAUGUAGUACUUCAACUUCAGAUUAAAAACGUGUCCGUGUUCGACAUGUGCAGGUGUCAGACACCGACACAUAUAUUUGUAUUCAAUAACUUACUAUGUUAUAUUAUAUUAUUGAAUCUCUGAUCUGAACUGAAAAGCAUAUGUUGUACUUGUAUAAUACUUCAACUUCAGAUUGGAAGCCUAUCUAGUGUGGGUUGUACUCAAUCACUUCCUAUAUAGCAUUGACACUUCAUAUUGAAGGUGGUGUGCUUGGUAUUCAACAACUCUGAGGUUUGAUAUGUGUCGGUCUUCGACACUAACACAUGUGAUUAGUGGUUACUAUGUGUCAGGGUCUUCAUAUCGAAGGCAGGUCCGCUGUCCAACAAUUGUGAGGUUUAAUAUGUGUCAGCCUUUGACACUAACACAUAUGGUCAGGGACGGAGUCAGAGAUUUUGAACUGUGGGGGCAAUAUAUUAAUAUAUUUAUUUAUCUCUAAAAAAAUAUUUAAUAAUAUUUAAAAAAAUUUAUCAAAAAAAAAAUAGAAAAAAAAAAAAAAAAAUAUAUAUAUAUAAUAUAUAUAUAUAUAUAUAUAUAAUAUAUAUAUAUUAUAUAUAUAUAUAUAUAUAAUAUAUAUAUAUAUAUAUUAUGAUUAGUAUAUAAUUUUUUUAUGAGAUCAUAAUAUUAAUAUAAAAUUCUAAGAUCAAAUUUUUUUAAAGGUCGAGGGAAAACUAUUUUGAAAUUAUAAAAAAAAACACAAUCGACUAUAUUUUAGUCUAACAUAUUUUAAUUUUAAUUAUUGAUAUAAAAAUAAAAAACUCACAUAAUUUAUUAAGUAUCCUAAAAAAAUAUUUAUAUACUCUAUGAUUUUCACCUAAUUUUAAUAAUAUUAACAAUAAAUUAUUUCAAUUGAUUUAAAAUAUAUUAUAAUAUAUAUAUAAUAUAUAUAUAUAUAUAUAUAAUAUAUAUAUAUAUAUAUAUAUAUAUAUAUUUAAGGGUUUUUUUUAAACAUAGUGGGGGCAUAUGCCCCCAUAGUGAUAUAUCUCGCAUGUGGUUACGUAUGUGUCAUUGUGCUAGUGUCAUAUUCGGUAUCCUUGACUGUGUUUCUGUCUCAUAGAUCAAUUAUGAUUUUUCAAAUUAUUAUCGGUGUCUAUGUGUCAUUGUCUUCAUAUUGAAGGUAUGUCAUGUAUCCAAUAACUAUGAGGUUUGAUAUAUGUCGAUCUUCGUCACUGACGCAUGUGAUUAUCAAUGUCAGCGUGUCAGUGUCUACGUGUGUAAUGCUCGUGUCCAAGUGAGUUAGUUCUUCAUAGAGAGACACUAUUUCUAUUCUAAUUAUUUUACCUCUUUUCUCCUUCUCAUAACAAGCUAAUAUCAUCUUUAAAGCAGGAGAUUCCAUUGCAAAAUUUUCAUCACAAUAUUUUAGUUAUAUUUGUAAGGGUCUUCUUUUGCAAUAUAUAUUAUCAGGGAAACAUUGGAAAAAUAUUCUGAAGAUAUAAGGGCGUAAGCAAUAUCAAUAGUGAGUUUCAUUACAUUGGCUUUAGGACUCGAGGAUACAAAGAUGUCAGAAAGUUUCCAUGAAGGACUAUAUGACAUUAGGAUGAACUGCUAUCCACCUUGUCCAGAGCCUGAAAGAGUUCUUGGGAUCAUUCCUCAUGCCGACAAUUCUGCAAUCACUCUUUUGGUUGAUUUUGGUGAUUUUCCUGGACUGCAGUUUCUCAAAGAUGGAAAAUGGGUCAGUGUUGUUCCAAUACAAGGAACCAUUGUUGUUAACAUUGGCCAUAUAAUUGAGAUUUGUAAUUUUUUUUACUGAUAAGCUGUGAAGCACGGAAACAGACAUUGGAUAUUGAUACGUCGACACCGGUAAUAAUUUGAAAAGAUUAAUAAAUUGAACGUAAUCAUAAGUGUCAUGUCAUGUUAGCGUCCGACACUGACACUUAGACGGACACUGACACGCCUUUUAUCAAAGGUGUCGGUGCUAUAGAGUUAUAAGGCUUCAAAUUAUUUCUCAAAUAGUGAUUCAUUGGAAGUUCUAGAAUUACGCAGGUUAUGACAAAUGAGAUAUACAAAGCACCAGAGCACAGACCCGUCGUAAAUAAAGAGAAGGAAAGAUUGUCAAUAGUGACAUUCUGCUAUCCAAGUCCUUCUAUAGAUAUUGGACCUGUUAAGAAGUUAACUGAUGAAGGUAACCAACAAGUAUACAAGAACAUGACAAAUGCAGAAUUCUUCAACAUGUUUUUCAAUAGGAAGCUCGAUGAAUCCUUUAUUGAUAGUUUGAGAUUAUGAUUAUAAUUAAUGGUGCUUAUUUAUACAACUCUUCCUUAACUAAUAUAAAUACACUUCAAAGUCAUAGCUGAAGUAACUUGUUCACAUGCAUUAAUUUUCAAUGCAGAUAGGUUAGUUAACCAACAAAAUGGUUCUAAUUAAGUUGUUUUUCAUGGGAUACUGUAUAGGUAAGAAGUUGAACUAACAAUACUUACAUGUACACAAUUUCUUCUAUAAAAGCCAAACAGUAAUACAUGCAAAAUACACUACAAAUCAUAUCAGAACCAUAUUAGCAUUGCAAAGCCCUUCAACUACUAUACUAUAUCUCCUUGAAGAUCUUCUCAUCAGUUAGAUCAAUUUAACCAUGGCUUCCAUUAGUUUGUCAACAAUCAUUUUUCCAUUUAUGAUUCUAGUUAUUUUGUCGGCAAAAAGUAGUAUAAUGAUUGUCGAGGCACGCAAACUUCUAGAGUCAAGCACGCCUCAACUCCCAAAACUUGAUUUGCCACUUCUACCAAAUCCCGAGUUUCCUAAGGUUCCUGAGCUACCUAAAUUAGAAAUUCCUAAACUACCUGAGUUAUCAAAUUCCGAGCUGCCUAAAAUUCCUGAAUUACCUAAGCUUGAAAUUUCUAAAGUACAUGAAUUACCAAAACCUGAGUUACCUAUGAUUCCUGAAUUACCUAAGCCAGAAAUUCUUGAAGUACCUGAGUUACCAAAGUCCGAAUUGCCUAAAGUUCCUGAAUUACCUAAGCCUGAAAUUCCUAAAGUACAUGAGUUACCAAAGCCUGAGUUGCCUAUGGUUCCUAAAUUACCUAAGCCAGAAAUUCCUAAAGUACCUGAGUUACCAAAGUCUGAGUUGCCUAAAGUUCCUAAAUUAUCUAAACCAGAAAUUUCUAAAGUACAUAAGUUACCAAAGCCUGAGCUGCCUAAAGUUCAUGAAUUAUCAAAGCCAGAAAUUCCUAAAGUACCUGAGUUACCAAAGCCUGAGCUGCCUAUGGUUCCUGAAUUACCUUUCGGUCUUUAAGGAUUUCAACCUGAGUUACCAAAGCCUGAGCUGCCUAUGGUUCCUGAAUUACCUAAGCCAGAAAUUCCUAAAGUACCUGAGUUACCAAAGUCCGAGUUGCCUAAAGUUCCUAAAUUACCUAAGCCUGAAAUUCCUAAAGUAUCUGAGUUACCAAAGUCCGAGCUACCUAAAGUUUCUGAAAUACCUAAGUCAGAAAUUCCUAAAGCACGUGAAUUACCAAAGUCAGAGCUGCCUAAAAUUCCUGAAUUACCUAAGCCAGAAAUUUCUAAAGUAUCUGAGUUACCAAAGUCAGAAUUACCUAAGCUACCUGAAUUUCCAAAACCCGAACUACCUAAAUUUAAUGUAACUGAAUUGCCCAAAUUCGAACUACCUAAAAUUCCAGAAUUGCCUGAAAUUCCUGAACUUCCUAAACCUGAACUACCCAAGAUCAAUAUUCCAGAACUACCUAAACCUAAGCAACCUAAAUUCCCUGAAAUGUCUAAAGUUGUUCCAACCACUACUCCAUAAGUUUGAAUUCUUUCAUUUGUAUUGUCUCAAAUCGUUUAAUAUAUUGUUUUCCAACCACUACUCCAUAAGUUUGAAUUCUUUCAUUUGUAUUGUCUCAAAUCGUUUAAUAUAUUGUUUAGCUCAUCAUGUAUGAUGAGUGUUAUAUGAUUUAUACAAUUUAUAAUUCAGUCUUAUAGGUAUAGACUACAGUCAUAGUGGAGUGAUUGUUAUGGUUUAGUUUGAAGUUUGAACCUUAUCAGAUUACAUAUUACUUUUUUAGUUUGAGUUUGUUUAAAUCGAUUGUACUAUUGCUUAUUAAUGGUCAUAUCUCUUAUGAAUGUGUUGUUGAAUUUAAUAAAAUUGUACUUUUAGUGAAGAAAUUUCAAGAAACUUCAAAUCCUAAUGUGGUUUAAGUUGAUA